rnacentral:rRNA from 1 species
CGGUGGAUGCCCUGGCAGUCAGAGGCGAUGAAGGACGUGCUAAUCUGCGAUAAGCGUCGGUAAGGUGAUAUGAACCGUUAUAACCGGCGAUUUCCGAAUGGGGAAACCCAGUGUGUUUCGACACACUAUCAUUAACUGAAUCCAUAGGUUAAUGAGGCGAACCGGGGGAACUGAAACAUCUAAGUACCCCGAGGAAAAGAAAUCAACCGAGAUUCCCCCAGUAGCGGCGAGCGAACGGGGAGCAGCCCAGAGCCUGAAUCAGUGUGUGUGUUAGUGGAAGCGUCUGGAAAGGCGCGCGAUACAGGGUGACAGCCCCGUACACAAAAAUGCACAUGCUGUGAGCUCGAUGAGUAGGGCGGGACACGUGGUAUCCUGUCUGAAUAUGGGGGGACCAUCCUCCAAGGCUAAAUACUCCUGACUGACCGAUAGUGAACCAGUACCGUGAGGGAAAGGCGAAAAGAACCCCGGCGAGGGGAGUGAAAAAGAACCUGAAACCGUGUACGUACAAGCAGUGGGAGCACGCUUCGGCGUGUGACUGCGUACCUUUUGUAUAAUGGGUCAGCGACUUAUAUUCUGUAGCAAGGUUAACCGAAUAGGGGAGCCGAAGGGAAACCGAGUCUUAACUGGGCGUUAAGUUGCAGGGUAUAGACCCGAAACCCGGUGAUCUAGCCAUGGGCAGGUUGAAGGUUGGGUAACACUAACUGGAGGACCGAACCGACUAAUGUUGAAAAAUUAGCGGAUGACUUGUGGCUGGGGGUGAAAGGCCAAUCAAACCGGGAGAUAGCUGGUUCUCCCCGAAAGCUAUUUAGGUAGCGCCUCGUGAAUUCAUCUCCGGGGGUAGAGCACUGUUUCGGCAAGGGGGUCAUCCCGACUUACCAACCCGAUGCAAACUGCGAAUACCGGAGAAUGUUAUCACGGGAGACACACGGCGGGUGCUAACGUCCGUCGUGAAGAGGGAAACAACCCAGACCGCCAGCUAAGGUCCCAAAGUCAUGGUUAAGUGGGAAACGAUGUGGGAAGGCCCAGACAGCCAGGAUGUUGGCUUAGAAGCAGCCAUCAUUUAAAGAAAGCGUAAUAGCUCACUGGUCGAGUCGGCCUGCGCGGAAGAUGUAACGGGGCUAAACCAUGCACCGAAGCUGCGGCAGCGACGCUGAUGCGUUGUUGGGUAGGGGAGCGUUCUGUAAGCCUGUGAAGGUGUGCUGUGAGGCAUGCUGGAGGUAUCAGAAGUGCGAAUGCUGACAUAAGUAACGAUAAAGCGGGUGAAAAGCCCGCUCGCCGGAAGACCAAGGGUUCCUGUCCAACGUUAAUCGGGGCAGGGUGAGUCGACCCCUAAGGCGAGGCCGAAAGGCGUAGUCGAUGGGAAACAGGUUAAUAUUCCUGUACUUGGUGUUACUGCGAAGGGGGGACGGAGAAGGCUAUGUUGGCCGGGCGACGGUUGUCCCGGUUUAAGCGUGUAGGCUGGUUUUCCAGGCAAAUCCGGAAAAUCAAGGCUGAGGCGUGAUGACGAGGCACUACGGUGCUGAAGCAACAAAUGCCCUGCUUCCAGGAAAAGCCUCUAAGCAUCAGGUAACAUCAAAUCGUACCCCAAACCGACACAGGUGGUCAGGUAGAGAAUACCAAGGCGCUUGAGAGAACUCGGGUGAAGGAACUAGGCAAAAUGGUGCCGUAACUUCGGGAGAAGGCACGCUGAUAUGUAGGUGAAGUCCCUCGCGGAUGGAGCUGAAAUCAGUCGAAGAUACCAGCUGGCUGCAACUGUUUAUUAAAAACACAGCACUGUGCAAACACGAAAGUGGACGUAUACGGUGUGACGCCUGCCCGGUGCCGGAAGGUUAAUUGAUGGGGUCAGCGCAAGCGAAGCUCUUGAUCGAAGCCCCGGUAAACGGCGGCCGUAACUAUAACGGUCCUAAGGUAGCGAAAUUCCUUGUCGGGUAAGUUCCGACCUGCACGAAUGGCGUAAUGAUGGCCAGGCUGUCUCCACCCGAGACUCAGUGAAAUUGAACUCGCUGUGAAGAUGCAGUGUACCCGCGGCAAGACGGAAAGACCCCGUGAACCUUUACUAUAGCUUGACACUGAACAUUGAGCCUUGAUGUGUAGGAUAGGUGGGAGGCUUUGAAGUGUGGACGCCAGUCUGCAUGGAGCCGACCUUGAAAUACCACCCUUUAAUGUUUGAUGUUCUAACGUUGACCCGUAAUCCGGGUUGCGGACAGUGUCUGGUGGGUAGUUUGACUGGGGCGGUCUCCUCCUAAAGAGUAACGGAGGAGCACGAAGGUUGGCUAAUCCUGGUCGGACAUCAGGAGGUUAGUGCAAUGGCAUAAGCCAGCUUGACUGCGAGCGUGACGGCGCGAGCAGGUGCGAAAGCAGGUCAUAGUGAUCCGGUGGUUCUGAAUGGAAGGGCCAUCGCUCAACGGAUAAAAGGUACUCCGGGGAUAACAGGCUGAUACCGCCCAAGAGUUCAUAUCGACGGCGGUGUUUGGCACCUCGAUGUCGGCUCAUCACAUCCUGGGGCUGAAGUAGGUCCCAAGGGUAUGGCUGUUCGCCAUUUAAAGUGGUACGCGAGCUGGGUUUAGAACGUCGUGAGACAGUUCGGUCCCUAUCUGCCGUGGGCGCUGGAGAACUGAGGGGGGCUGCUCCUAGUACGAGAGGACCGGAGUGGACGCAUCACUGGUGUUCGGGUUGUCAUGCCAAUGGCACUGCCCGGUAGCUAAAUGCGGAAGAGAUAAGUGCUGAAAGCAUCUAAGCACGAAACUUGCC